rnacentral:rRNA from 1 species
UACGUAGGGUGCGAGCGUUAAUCGGAUUUACUGGGCGUAAAGCGUGCGCAGGCGGCCCGUUAAGACAGGUGUGAAAUCCCUGGGCUCAACCUAGGAAUUGCGCUUGUGACUGGCGGGCUCGAAUACGGUAGAGGGGGGUGGAAUUCCUGGUGUAGCAGUGAAAUGCGUAGAGAUCAGGAGGAACACCGAUGGCGAAGGCAGCCCCCUGGGCCUGUACUGACGCUCAUGCACGAAAGCGUGGGGAGCAAACAGG